UACGUAGGGACCGAGCAUUGUCCGGAAUCAUUGGGCGUAAAGAGCGUGUAGGCGGCUAUUUAAGUCCUGCGUGAAAUCCUGCGGCUCAACCGCAGACGGUCGUGGGAAACUGGAUGGCUAGAGUGCGGGAGAGGAGAGUGGAAUUCCCGGUGUAGCGGUGAAAUGCGCAGAUAUCGGGAAGAACACCCGUGGCGAAGGCGGCUCUCUGGAACGCAACUGACGCUGAGACGCGAAAGCGUGGGGAGCAAACAGG
rnacentral:rRNA from 1 species